ACUGAAGCAUUAUAUGAAGGUUUGAUAUCCAAGCCUUCAACAAGAUAUUUCAUACAAUUUCAGUAACAAAUGAAGGUCCCCAAUGUUGCCCGAAAGAAUUCUACACAAUCCUGAUUAAGAAAACAGGAAAGCAGAAAACCCACCAGGAGUAGUGAAUGGAUCCAUCAAAUCUCACACUUUGCUUUUGUUAUUGCUUUAGUUUUUUUUUGUUUCCAUGAAGGAAAUGGCAUGCAACACAUUCAAUCCCGGCUUGUGGGGUUCAAACCUUUAAGCUUGUGCUCGCAUACUCCACAGUCCGAGUCGGUGGGAGUGGCGGUGUCGGCGCUGGAUCACUGCCGAUGCUUGCGUACUGUCGCGAUGGCUUCCCUCGAUCGAAUCCUGAACACUCGUCAUUCAUUCCGCACCCACAAAAAGCGCAUAAUGCAGCAGCUUAACCUGGUUCGCAUUGCUUGUACCCCUCUGCGGCAUUGAUGUGAAGCAAAUUUCAAGCUGGUUUUCACCGAAGGAUGCUCUUAUAACGGCCUCGUCCAUGUCAAACCAAUUGGCAGUGACCGGCGUCUCGAGUUCCACCGCAAUCGCGAAAUCCAUCUCUUUUAACGCAGGCUCAUGCGCACCUCGUUUGCGACAACGCAUAGCAUGUGCUGCUGGCCAUCGCGCACUAUCACCAACAGCACCAGAAAUGGGGCGUUGAAACCGAAUACCAUAUUCUCAAUCUCGGGUGCAGUUCAGUUGGCUCUCAUUCCGCAGCUUUCUGCUUCGAAGACACGCCAUAUGGUUGAGAUUCUGAGACCCGGCGGCGAUUGAUGGAAGAUUUUGAGAGUGAUGGAGGGAAUGAAGGCAAUGGUGGUGUCGGGGGGAUUUGUGGGCGGUGCCACCAGGUCGCAGGUUUCCAGUUCCGCCACUUCGGGUUCGUGGUCCUCGUAGUCACUAAUGCCGGCGCUCAUUUCGUUUUCCGGGAGAGGUAAAAGACGGGUUGUUCGUUCCCCAACUGGCCAGGGAGCUUCGGUUGGUAACUGCAGAUUCCAGGGGAGCUGUGUCGUAAGGCGGUGGACAGGUGAGGAUGGAAACUGAAGCCAUGAAUGAUGUUAUCAUCGAUGCAGGUGUGGGCAGCCAUGGCGCUGCACUUAUAGCUGUUGAGAAGGUAGAGCUUUCGCAACGGUCUGCCGUUAAUGCGUCCAUCGCGGGUAGAGCGUUGUGGCCGUGCAACAGUAUUGUCUGGCUUCCUCCCUUGUUCUCUCCUUCAGACCGAUGUUGUUAAUUUUUUGAUACCUAUUGCAAGUAUUGUAGUACUUAGGAUUUCAAAACCUUGAUUGGAAAACUCUAAUAUGCUUCCUAUUUAACCAAUGCCUUUGAUUGGGAGUCGCCCAUGUCGUGAUUUUAUUAUGGCCUUCAGCUUGUACUUUUUCUUGUCGCGUCGUCUAAUGCUCGUGAAGUUUUCUUUGUGAGAAUUUUGCAAUAUUAGCACAGUUUCGUUAACCACAUACUUGUCAACAUGGAUGUUUGGGGAAAACCGAUUUCACAAGGGUCCACGCUCUGUAGCUGAAGUGGAUCCCAGCGUGGAUAGAUAUCGUAGGAAUCGGAUACAUUGGUGCAGAAUUUAGUGAUGUCUGUACAGUUCUUGAAAGCGACGUUAGUGCCCCUUUUUGUAAGUUAGCUAUUCAUUUAUUUGGCACGGUUUUACAUACGGACUUUUAUUGUUCUUGUGUUAGCGACUAGCAACUGUGCCUACGGGUCAUCAAAAAAAGUGCUUAACGUUGCGUCAAUUCUCUUCUUUUCUGCCUCUAGUUUUUCCGGUGGCUCAUAAUUCAUCUUUGUAAAAACGAGCAGGUGGCACUCAUAGAGGCGAUUGAUGGCUUCAUGCCCGAAUUUGAGCCUCAAACCGGUUAGGCUUGCCCAGAGGAGCUUGAUUAAUUCUUACAAAAUUGAUUAUCAUUUCGGUGUUUAGCGACGAAGAUCACGCCAGCUGCAGAUGAAGAAUCCAGCACAGAUUGUAUUAGUCGACACAAAGACUAAGAAGUUCAAGGAGAUUCUCGAGGACGCUACCCUUUUCAAGACCCAACACUUUAUUGGAAUAAGACACUACCAUUUGCAAAGGUGAAAGUAACCACACAGAGGGGUGUUGUACCCGUGGGUGAGCGUAUGCAAGGGCUCGAUGGUGAAGGAACAAAGUGAGCGGAUUCUACGACGCCAAAUACUUUGAAAUAGUUUGAAAACCUCACAAUGUCAUGUUUCCAGCCGUUAUGCGUGUGCAUCAAUCGAACAUCGAAUGAUAAGCGUGGAUUCAGAAGACUACUUCCGAAGGAUUCCCAGUCUGUAAUCAUGGUUCUCUUGGGUAGUCAUUUUUGAUCGAUUAUAGGUAUGAGUAGCUAUGACAUUUUAGCUGAUCUUCUAGAUGGACACCAUUGAUUCCGCCUUUCGACGUGGCUCAGACAAUUCCCAUCAAACACUUUCUGCCUCUGUUUGUUGUUGUGUCUGCUUUGUACUGUACAGGUGAUGCCAAUGGAUACAUAAUGCUUGCCCUUGCACCCAGUGCUCAAAGCAUUCCUGGUAAAUUAAUCAGUCCUAAUCCGUCUGUGUUAAAUCAUUU